GCCACAAGAGCUGUGUGUUUCAGGGAGAUGUGAAAUAAGACUUGGGAUCCUUUCUCACUUAAAUCCAAAUACUUCUGUCUUUUGUGAUUUGGGGAAAAUGGGAGAACUGA